GCAUCACUUUAUAGUUAAAGCUCCGGCGGUACGAGAUGAGCAUGCGCCCAAUUAGCUAGUUGGUGAGGUAACGGCUCACCAAGGCUACGAUUGGUAGGGGUUCUGAGAGGAUGAUCCCCCACACUGGUACUGAGACACGGACCAGACUCCUACGGGAGGCAGCAGUGAGGAAUAUUGCGCAAUGGACGAAAGUCUGACGCAGCCAUGCCGCGUGAAGGAUGAAGGCCCUAUGGGUUGUAAACUUCUUUUGUACGGGAAAAAACCCUUCUACGUGUAGAGGGCUGAUGGUACCGUAAGAAUAAGCACCGGCUAACUCCGUGCCAGCAGCCGCGGUAAUACGGAGGGUGCAAGCGUUAUCCGGAUUUAUUGGGUUUAAAGGGUCCGU
rnacentral:rRNA from 1 species